GCAAUGUGUGUGAAUGUGUGUGCGCGGUAACAACAGUUAGAAAGACAAAAAAGCAAGAGAGUUUAGAGGUUUACAGAUGCUGUCAGACGAGCUGUGCUGUGUUUACAUGGACUUUUGAAUGGGAUUUUAUUACCUGCUUGUUCAUAGUGCUCAUAUCUUUAAGAGAUGGAGACCCUGCUUGCCAAAGCUCUCUUUGACAACACGGCCGAAAGUGAAGAUGAGCUGGCUUUUCGCAAGGGUGACAUCAUCGUGGUCCUCGAAAGAAACGUUAUGGGGAGCAUCGGCUGGUGGAAGUGUUCUCUUAAUGGACGUCAGGGCCUGGCACCGGCAAACCGCCUGGGUAUUCUUUCUCCAGUGGAGGCUGAGAGUCUUUCUGCUAAUUUAAGUGUGGAGAGAGAUUCCUGGUUGAAACAAAGCUGUCAAAACAUCUAUCAAAUCCCAAAAGCUAACAUGCCAUCACCACCGGAUCCGAUUUAUGAAGAUAUGAAUAUGAUAAGUAAUCGGUCCCUCCCAUGCAUCCCUUCAGCAGAUAAGCAUAUGUCACAAGAUGAUCCAGGAGGAAACAGCCCCCUACGUGAUGUUGCAAUGACUCCGCCCAGAACCGGUGCAGAAUUAUAUGAUGUUCCAAGCUUGUUAAGAAGAAAAUCCAUGUUCACACCGCCUGCACCGCAACCACCCAUGCAAAGGAAAGUUUCACUGAUGCCUACCACUGAAGUUCAGAAGAGAUAUGAAACGCUACGAGGCAACAGAUCUGUCAAUGCAUCUAAAAAAAAUGUCUGCAUUAUACGACCAUUGGUUUCCCAAGACCCCAGUUAUGAAGUACCAAUGCCCUGCAUCAGUGAGGAUAUUCCAAAGCCUCCAUUGGUUUGCAGUACCAUGCCGAACCUUUCUAAGUCAGACUGGAUUUAUGAUGUUCCUGUCUUCAUGCAAAAACAAGGUGCUGAACCUGAUCGCUAUGGCACCAUGCCAUCCAAAAUUAUAAGCUCAGACAUACCACUUUAUGACACCUUGCCAGCUCGUGUUUGUCCCGAAAGAAAAGUCACUCAGCUCCAGCCUGUCUAUGAUGUUCCGAAACCAAGCCUGUUUGUGCAAGCUGAUUCAUGCACUUAUGAUGUCCCACCGUGCCUUAAACCGAAAGAGACCUCUGAACAUUCUACAUUACCCAGACAGUCUAGUGCUCCUGAAAUUGACUCUAUCAAGAAUCAUGAACUCUUUGAGUAUAGGGGUAUGUCCAGACCCAUAUGUGACCAGUUUCUUCGUUUGCCCUUAAGGGGUCGAUCUUUGUCCAGGCAGGCCACGGAAGGUGGAUUUAGAAGGGACUAUAGUGAUAACAAAGACAACCAGAGAAGCUCUACUGUGUCCGACUGCUCCACAGCUUCCAGUUCCUCCAGGAGUUCCUGCGACUCUUUCCUGUUGAGCUCUCCAGAGCCCGAGCCCUUGCGUGAGGUCGCCCUUUCUCAGGAGGAGGCUGGCCAGCGGCUACAUGAGCUGCGGGAUGCCGUGUGCCAAUCCGUACCCAAACUGAUGUUGUUCGUCAGCAGCCAAUGGAGAAGCAAAGAGCACCUGGGUCAGCACCUCCAUCAGAUCCGCACAGCCACGGAAGAAGUGACGGACUCCAUCACCAGUUUCCUGAACUUUGCCUUGGACGUCAGAGGAAAUGCGCAGAGGUUGACGGACUCCAACCUGCAGGCGAGGCUCCUGAAGCAGCUCUCCAUCGUGGAAGACUCAGGUUUGAUCCUGCAGCAGGCUGCGAAUCUGCUGCGAGGCAUGGGCUGGAAGCUGGAUGUUUUGGCUCAGGAUGACGGCAAAUCACAGACACAUGACCAUUUGGAGCAGUUUGUUAUGGUGGCUCGUACUGUACCGGAGGAUGUUAAGAGGCUGGUGUCCAUCCUGAAUGCCAACGGGAAGCUUCUUUUCAAAGUGCCUGCAAAGGAACAGGACAUGGCGGAGCAAAGCGGCUCGUCUGAAAAACGUUUAAGCAAAAGUGAACCAACUGUAGACUCAGGAAUAGAUGACAGCGACUAUAUACAACUUCAGACAAAGACGGAAGAGGAUGUCCAACAACCGAAAUUGUCAAAAAGCAGCUUUAAACAAAAGAAAAAUUGUGAUACUGUUAAAAAACAGGUUACCAAAUCACUGUCCCUUAGCCCCUGCCGUCCACUUCAAACCUCCAAGAAGCCGUCAAUCUCUGACCACUGCAGACUUUAUUUUGGAGCCAUUCAGAAGGCAAUCAGUGUGUUUAUAAGUAGUCUGAAUGAUGGGCAUCCCCCUGAAAAGUUCAUAUCCCACAGUAAGCUGGUUAUUAUGGUGGGCCAAAGACUUGUGAACUCUUUGUGCACCGAAGCCAAAAAUACAGAGGCCAGUCAGGAAAUGUUGUCUAUGAGCAAUCAGCUAUGUGCCCAUCUCAAGCAGCUUGCCGUGAUCACCAAGAAAGCAGCUCUGAACUACCCUGACCAGCAAUCACUGCAGGAAGCCCAGGACAUUGCCAAAGAGCUGGCACAAAGAGCACAGCACUUCAGAAUGUCACUGGAUGCCUGACAAGCCAUAUUAUAAGUUAUCAUCAUGAGGAGGUGGGUUGGCGCAUUGGGCAAUUGUAUUUGAGGAAUAUCAGAAUCUGUUUGAUUUGUAUGAGAGUACACUUAAACCGCACAAAAUUUCUGUCUGUUAAAGGGGUCAUAGCGUGAAAAUUUGACACUUUCCAUGUUUAAGUGCUAUAAUGGGGUCUCCAGUGCUUCUAUCAACCUAGAAAAUGUGAAAAAGAUCUAACUUUGUUUUGGCAAGCCAUUCUUUGCAAGCAUGUGAAAAAUUAGAUUGUUCAAAUUUGUGCCUGUUUUGUGAGGUAGGUAGCAAGGCCAAUUACAAUAACUCCGCCCCUUAAUCUGUACUAUCCAAUUACGGCACUGCCAUUUAGUGCAGAGUGAAAGAGAGAGAAAAAAAAUAAUUGACAGCACAAACCACCAUCAUUGCGAUCAGUGUUUGCAUUUCAUCAGCUCAUUUGCAUUUUAAAGGACACACCCAUUUUUGCAGUGGCAAUUUGUACAUGCUAUAAUAAUUAUCUGUGGGGAAUUUUGAGCUUAAACUUCACGUAUACACUCUGGGGACACCAAAGACGAAACAAGAGUAAACAAUAAUAUCAAAAUUUGCAUUUUUGGGUAAACUAUUAUUGGUAUAUACAGUGUUAACCAAUAAUUAAAGACCUUUGCAUCAAUUUGCCUUAUUAUAAGUGUAUGAUGUACUUGCCCAGCCAAACCUCAGACUUUAAAUGAUUUAAACAAACAAUGCACUUUUAUAAUGCCCAACACUGUAUAAAGUUUUGGUUAUAAUAAUUAGACACAAUGUAUGUAAAUAACUAUACUAUAUGUAACAUUUUUGUACAAUAAUUUAAACAUUUUUUUUCUAAACAACUUUGAAUACAACUUUUUCAUUUUCUUUCCAUUCUUAAAUCUUACAUUUUCAGUAUUCAUUCUUUUACGCUGUAAGAAUGCAGUAUUCUGCUUUUUAACAUGUACUGUAAUAUCUAAUAAAUCGUUUCUU